rnacentral:rRNA from 1 species
UGAGCCAAGUUUAGGGUUUCUUAAAAACCCAAGCAGUAUUGAACUGAAGAGUUUGAUCAUGGCUCAGAUUGAACGCUGGCGGCAGGCCUAACACAUGCAAGUCGAGCGGAUGACGGGAGCUUGCUCCUUGAUUCAGCGGCGGACGGGUGAGUAAUGCCUAGGAAUCUGCCUGGUAGUGGGGGACAACGUUUCGAAAGGAG